UACAGAGGGUGCAAGCGUUGUUCGGAAUCACUGGGCGUAAAGCGCGUGUAGGCGGAUCGCUAAGUCUGUGGUGAAAGCGCCUGGCUUAACCGGGCGAGGUCCAUGGAAACUAGCGGUCUGGAGGCCGGUAGAGGGGGGUGGAAUUCCGGGUGUAGUGGUGAAAUGCGUAGAGAUCCGGAGGAACACCAGUGGCGAAGGCGGCCCCCUGGGCCGCGCCUGACGCUGAGACGCGAAAGCGCGGGGAGCGAACGGG
rnacentral:rRNA from 1 species